rnacentral:rRNA from 1 species
UUCUGGUUGAUCCUGCCGGACCUGACUGCUAUCGGAUUGAUACUAAGCCAUGCGAGUCGUUGUAGCAAUACAAGGCAUACGGCUCAGUAACGCGUAGUCAACCUAACCUAUGGACGGGAAUAACCUCGGGAAACUGAGAAUAAUGCCCGAUAGAACAUUAUGCCUGGAAUGGUUUAUGUUCCAAAUGAUUUAUCGCCAUAGGAUGGGACUGCGGCCUAUCAGUUUGUUGGUGAGGUAAUGGCCCACCAAGACUAUUACAGGUACGGGCUCUGAGAGGAGUAGCCCGGAGAUGGGUACUGAGACACGGACCCAGGCCCUAUGGGGCGCAGCAGGCGAGAAAACUUUACAAUGUGCGAAAGCACGACAAGGUUAAUCCGAGUGAUUUCUGCUAAAGAGAUCUUUUGUUAGUCCUAGAAACACUAACGAAUAAGGGGUGGGCAAGUUCUGGUGUCAGCCGCCGCGGUAAAACCAGCACCUCAAGUGGUCAGGAUGAUUAUUGGGCCUAAAGCAUCCGUAGCCGGCUCUGUAAGUUUUCGGUUAAAUCUGUACGCUCAACGUACAGGCUGCCGGAAAUACUGCAGAACUAGGGAGUGGGAGAGGUAGACGGUACUCGGUAGGAAGUGGUAAAAUGCUUUGAUCUAUCGAUGACCACCUGUGGCGAAGGCGGUCUACCAGAACAUGUCCGACGGUGAGGGAUGAAAGCUGGGGGAGCAAACCGGAUUAGAUACCCGGGUAGUCCCAGCUGUAAACUAUGCAAACUCAGUGAUGCAUUGGCUUGUGGCCAAUGCAGUGCUGCAGGGAAGCCGUUAAGUUUGCCGCCUGGGAAGUACGUACGCAAGUAUGAAACUUAAAGGAAUUGGCGGGGGAGCACCACAAGGGGUGAAGCCUGCGGUUCAAUUGGAUUCAACGCCGGG